GGCGCCUGUCGCAUUGGUGGGAAGAGAAGGUUGGGCACACAGAAGAAGAAUAGACCUGUACUAACGGAAGCUCAUUCCUUCUUUCCUAUAUCACAGCGUCACGUUGAGAUGACAAAAUUACCACAUUACCCUCAGCCCAUCCAAGGUUGCCAGGCCAAUACAUCGAUGGUCCGGGGUUGAAGGGUUACAAGUCCCAGGAGGUGUCAACCUCAUUACCCCAGAGUGGAUCAACCCAGCCCAGGGGGCUCUCUGAGUAUUUAGAGGAGCGCGCUGGUCCCACAAGGGUUCUGAUUCAAAUGCCAACAUCUGUCUGGCGACGGCACCCAGACGGACCAGGACACCUUCAUCAGAGGUAUUCUUCAGCUGACAGAAGCCACAAGGUGGACGAAAUAAUGGAAGAACUGGGUUCCCAAAGAAACAGGCAUCACAGCUUUCCAUUCUGAUGCCGGUGCAGGAGUCCUUCGGCCCAUCAGUAUCGAUGUCCAAUUUGCUUAAAUCUGUUUUGAACUUGACUGUAGAAAUACUCUUAAGGUGUUUUCUACCCACUUCGAGACACACAAAGCAAAAUAAGAAAAGAAAAACCGAAGCGCUGUGACUUCACAUCUGAAACAGCAAGAGCAACUUUUCUAAAAAAUGUUUUUUUUACCCCCUUGCUAUGACAAAUG